GAUGAACGCUAGCGGCAGGCCUAACACAUGCAAGUCGAGGGGCAUCAUGGCGUAGCAAUACGCUGAUGGCGACCGGCGCACGGGUGCGUAACGCGUAUGGAACCUACCCACCGCAGGGGGAUAACCCGCCGAAAGGCGGACUAAUACCCCAUGGUUCCCCGACCCUGCCUGGGGUUGGGGGUAAAGCCUACGGGCGGCGGUGGAUGGCCCUGCGUGCCAUUAGCUGGCUGGUGGGGUAACGGCCCACCAGGGCGACGAUGGCUAGGGGGUCUGAGAGGACGAUCCCCCACACUGGUACUGAGACACGGACCAGACUCCUACGGGAGGCAGCAGUGAGGAAUAUUGGUCAAUGGGCGGAAGCCUGAACCAGCCAUGCCGCGUGCAGGAUGACGGCCCUACGGGUUGUAAACUGCUUUUCCAGGGAGAGAAACUUACGCACGUGUUGCGUGACUGACGGUACCCUGGGAAUAAGCAUCGGCUAACUCCGUGCCAGCAGCCGCGGUAAAUC
rnacentral:rRNA from 1 species